rnacentral:misc_RNA from 1 species
GUGAAUCAUCGAAUCUUUGAACGCAACUUGCACCAUGCAGCGAUGGAUGGUAUGUCUGUUUGAGUACGACAACGAAAUGCGCUUCGGUGCGACGUGGCCUGCACGUGUGUGGGCUGAAAAGGAGCCAGUCAGGCUGGACGGUCUGGCAGUGUGCUAGGGACGGUGCUGGGGGGUGGUGGUGUGCGGAUCAUGGCUCGCCAUGGAUGUGCACUGGCGCCUCAGCCGGUCUUGUCGCUGCCGACGCCGACCAGCCAUCAACAAUAAGAGUAAUCCGUCUCAAAUCAGGCAAGACGACCCGCU